rnacentral:rRNA from 1 species
CCUACGGGAGGCUGCAGUGAGGAAUAUUGGUCAAUGGACGCAAGUCUGAACCAGCCAUGCCGCGUGCAUGAAGAAGGCUCUAUGAGUUGUAAACUGCUUUUGUACGAGGGUAAAUCCCGAUAAGUGUAUCGGGUUGAAAUUAUCGUACGAAUUAGGAUAGGCUAACUCCGUGCCAGCAGCCGCGGUAAUACGGAGGAUUCAAGCGUUAUCCGGAUUUAUUGGGUUUAAAGGGAGCGUAGGCCGCAUGUCAAGCGUGCUGUGAAAUGUCCGGGCUCAACCCGGGCCUUGCAGCGCGAACUGGCGUGCGUGAGUCCGCGGAAAGCAGGCGGAAUUCGUCGUGUAGCGGUGAAAUGCUUAGAUAUGACGAAGAACCCCGAUUGCGAAGGCAGCUUGCUGCAGCGGAACUGACGCUGAUGCUCGAAAGCGCGGGUAUCGAACAGGAUUAGAUACCCCAGUAGUC